GGCGCAAAACCAUGACAACCAUUACAGCUUUUGUCAUCUACAUAACUUUGAUGACAUUUAUGCUUUCUUGGAAUCCCAUUUAUGUUCUUGCGGGUAAUACUGCGGUUAGUCGCAAGCAUAAGACACUCAGAGACCCUGGAGCAAUCAAUAUUCCCCCGCGCCGCUUCUACGCAACGCCGCCAGGAAGACAUCCUAGCAUAAAACGCAAGGACUCAGGUUUUGGCAAUGGCCCUUUCUCUAAGCGACCUCGCAUGUAAUGGGACUAAAACAGUUAUUUCCAAGACGGCAAGCAGUAUCUGGAGAUAAACAUGCAAUCGAUCCCUCAUCAUCAGUUCAUUGUUAUGUUAUGCUGGAAAUUGCUGUACUCGCCCUCUAGCGGCAAAGACGGCUACCACUACGUGGAAAUAAAGAUUGGUUCGCUAAA